AUUGAACGCUGGCGGCAUGCCUAACACAUGCAAGUCGAACGAGUGGCGGACGGGUUAGUAAUAUCUGGGAAACUGCCUGAUGGAGUGGGAUAACUACUGGAAACGGUAGCUAAUACCGCAUACCAUCUGAUGUGCCCAGAUUGUAUUAGCUAGUAGGUGGGGUAACGGAUCACCUAGGCGACGAUCCCUAGCUGGUCUGAGAGGAUGACCAGCAAAACUGGAACUGAGACACGGUCCAGACUCCUACGGGAGGCAGCAGUGGGGAAUAUUGCACAAUGGGCGCAAGCCUGAUGCAGCCAUGCCGCGUGUAUGAAGAAGGCCUUCGGGUUGUAAAGUACUUUCAGCGGGGAGGCGUUACCCGCAGAAGAAGCACCGGCUAACUCCGUGCCAGCAGCCGCGGUAAUUC
rnacentral:rRNA from 1 species